rnacentral:rRNA from 1 species
CAGCCGCCGCGGGAAUACGGAGGGAGCUAGCGUUGUUCGGAAUCACUGGGCGUAAAGCGCACGUAGGCGGCUAUUCAAGUCAGGGGUGAAAGCCCGGGGCUCAACCCCGGAACUGCCUUUGAAACUAGAUAGCUUGAAUCUUGGAGAGGCGAGUGGAAUUCCGAGUGUAGAGGUGAAAUUCGUAGAUAUUCGGAAGAACACCAGUGGCGAAGGCGACUCUCUGGUCUGAAACUGACGCUGAGGAGCGAAAGCGUGGGGAGCGAACAGGAUUAGAUACCCGAGUAGUCCCUGUCUCUUAUAC